rnacentral:rRNA from 1 species
AUUGAACGCUGGCGGCAGGCCUAACACAUGCAAGUCGAACGGUAGCACAGAGAGCUUGCUCUCGGGUGACGAGUGGCGGACGGGUGAGUAACGUCUGGGAAACUGCCCGAUGGCGGGGGAUAACUACUGGAAACGGUCGCUAAUACCGCAUAACGUCUCCAGACCAAAGUGGGGGACCUUCGGGCCUCCCACUAUCGGACGUGCCCAGAUGGGAUUAGCUAGUAGGUGGGGUAAUGGCUCACCUAGGGGACGAGCCCUAGCUGGUCUGAGAGGAUGACCAGCCACACUGGAACUGAGACACGGUCCAGACUCCUACGGGAGGCAGCAGUGGGGAAUAUUGCACAAUGGGCGCAAGCCUGAUGCAGCCAUGCCGCGUGUAUGAAGAAGGCCUUCGGGUUGUAAAGUACUUUCAGCGGGGAGGAAGGCGGUGAAGUUAAUAACUUCACCGAUUGACGUUACCCGCAGAAGAAGCACCGGCUAACUCCGUGCCAGCAGCCGCGGUAA